rnacentral:rRNA from 1 species
GACGAACGCUGGCGGCGUGCCUAACACAUGCAAGUCGAACGGCAGCACGGGAGCAAUCCUGGUGGCGAGUGGCGAACGGGUGAGUAAUAUAUCGGAACGUGCCCAGUCGUGGGGGAUAACGUAGCGAAAGCUACGCUAAUACCGCAUACGAUCUACGGAUGAAAGCGGGGGAUCGCAAGACCUCGCGCGAUUGGAGCGGCCGAUAUCAGAUUAGCUAGUUGGUGGGGUAAAAGCUCACCAAGGCGACGAUCUGUAGCUGGUCUGAGAGGACGACCAGCCACACUGGAACUGAGACACGGUCCAGACUCCUACGGGAGGCAGCAGUGGGGAAUUUUGGACAAUGGGGGCAACCCUGAUCCAGCCAUGCCGCGUGAGUGAAGAAGGCCUUCGGGUUGUAAAGCUCUUUCGGCCGGGAAGAAAUCGCAUGGGCUAAUACCCUGUGCGGAUGACGGUACCGGCAUAAGAAGCACCGGCUAACUACGUGCCAGCACG